UACAGAGGGUGCAAGCGUUAAUCGGAAUUACUGGGCGUAAAGGGUGCGUAGGCGGUCUCUUAAGUCGGAUGUGAAAUCCUUGGGCUCAACCUAAGAAUUGCAUACGAUACUGAAAGACUAGAGUACAGUAGAGGAUAGUGGAAUUCCACGUGUAGCGGUGAAAUGCGUAGAUAUGUGGAGGAACACCAGUGGCGAAGGCGGCUAUCUGGACUGAUACUGACGCUGAGGCACGAAAGCGUGGGGAGCAAACAGG
rnacentral:rRNA from 1 species